GUCGACUAUUUGGUAUGGAAUAAGUCACUGGUGUGCUCUUCCCUAGAGGACAAGUGGUGGCUCCAGAAUGUCUGAAGAUAGGAGUCUGUCAAGUGUCUGCUUUAAGAAACCAGGACAGGAAGAAGGUGGAUGAUGGGAGCCCAGGCCUAUGGCUCCACUGGCAGGUACCCGAACACCAGCUCCCUGCUCUUCACCAUCGGCAUCGUCAUGGCUCCACUGGCAGGUACCCGAACACCAGCUCCCUGCUCUUCACCAUCGGCAUCGUCAUGGCUCCACUGGCAGGUACCCGAACACCAGCUCCCUGCUCUUCACCAUCGGCAUCGUCAUCGUCUCCACCUCCUCUGUGGCAGUCUUUUAAGCCUUUCUACAAAGGAUACCACAUUCUAGAUUCUAGUCCUGUCCCAUGCUCCAAUGUCCAUAUCUGGCUCUCCCAUCAGGCUGAAGUCUUGACCCUUAACACUAUACAUACCUUCACAGAUCUGUCCACACUAGAUUCAGUAAAAUCCACA